AUACGGAGGGUGCAAGCGUUAAUCGGAAUUACUGGGCGUAAAGCGUACGUAGGCGGCAAGUUAAGUUAGAUGUGAAAGCCCCGGACUCAACCUGGGAACUGCAUUUAAAACUGGCUUGCUAGAGUUGAGUAGAGGGGAGUGGAAUUUCAGGUGUAGCGGUGAAAUGCGUAGAGAUCUGAAGGAACACCAGUGGCGAAGGCGACUCCCUGGACUCGAACUGACGCUGAGGUACGAAAGCGUGGGUAGCAAACGGGAUUAGAAACCCUAGUAGUCC
rnacentral:rRNA from 1 species